CAUCGCGACACCAUUUCCGGCCUAUCGGAUGUUGAGUGAGGAGAAAAAAACAAUUGAAUCACGAAUACAAUAAGCUAACAUUUAAAAUUAUGGCACACACCACUGUCUCUGAACGUUGGCGAAAACAUACAUGUUAUGUGCAAUGCAUUAUUUAUAAAUAUUGAUAUUUGUCGGGUUUGGUCUACAAAACGGUAUGUUAACAUUAGCUAGCUAGCUUUCAUCAUGUCGACAGCUAUCUAACUGGUGGUUCGAGGACAAGUUUGCACUAACAUUUUUGGAUAUUUCAGAUUCAAGACAUGGAAGACACAAGUUGGAACAUUCAAACCCAACAGAACAACACUACAUCAGUGUGUACCUGGGCACAGUAGUGGGGGUUACCUGGCUAGUUUGUGGUGGAAGAGGAGACGCGUGGUUUGAACAAAAGCUGGAUGAUCGUUCUUGCCUGGGCUGUUAUUGGAGGAUCUACGUUGAACAUUUAUAUUUUCCUCAUCAGUCCCGCCAGAGAGCCUGCCUAAAAAUAAAGACAAGCAAGAGACUGACUGACAUGGGAAGUCAAAUUUCCUUCAGUAGAGGAGUCAAUGAUGAGGAAACAGUCAGCCUUAUCUGCUUCCCAUAGCAACCCUCCUAAACCCUUGCCUGCCCUGACUAACGAGAAACCGGUAACUGCUGAUACUGCCAUCUGAAGAGAAGAUCAGCAAGGAGGUAGACAACUGCCAUAACAUGCCACCUAUGAAGGAGCCCUUACAAAGACCCCAACUACAGAGAGAAAGUAAAAGCCAACAGAACAAAGUGGUAGCUGAACCCUCUGACACACGGUCACUACCAGGUACCCCUGUUURGGRUGUCCWUCCUYA